UUCCAGACUUCGAUUAUGGCUCAGGAUAAACGCUGGCGGCGCACAUAAGACAUGCAAGUCGGACGGACUUAACUCAUUCUUUUAGUUUGAGAGCGGUUAGUGGCGGACUGGUGAGUAACACGUAAGCAACCUGCCUAUCAGAGGGGAAUAACAGUGAGAAAUCAUUGCUAAUACCGCAUAUACUAACAGUAUCGCAUGAUACAGUUAGGAAAGGAGCAAUCCGCUGAUAGAUGGGCUUGCGUCUGAUUAGUUAGUUGGUGGGGUAACGGCCUACCAAGACUACGAUCAGUAGCCGGACUGAGAGGUUGAACGGCCACAUUGGGACUGAGAUACGGCCCAGACUCCUACGGGAGGCAGCAGUCGGGAAUAUUGCGCAAUGGAGGAAACUCUGACGCAGUGACGCCGCGUAUAGGAAGAAGGUUUUCGGAUUGUAAACUAUUGUCGUUAGGGAAGAUAAAAGACUGUACCUAAGGAGGAAGCCCCGGCUAACUAUGUGCCAGCAGCCGCGGUAAUACAUAGGGGGCAAGCGUUAUCCGGAAUUAUUGGGUGUAAAGGGUGCGUAGACGGAGAAACAAGUUGGUUGUGAAAUCCCUCGGCUCAACUGAGGAACUGCAACCAAAACUAUUUCCCUUGAGUGUCGGAGAGGAAAGUGGAAUUCCUAGUGUAGCGGUGAAAUGCGUAGAUAUUAGGAGGAACACCAGUGGCGAAGGCGACUUUCUGGACGAUAACUGACGUUGAGGCACGAAAGUGUGGGGAGCAAACAGGAUUAGAUACCCUGGUAGUCCACACUGUAAACGAUGGAUACUAGGUGUAGGGUGUAUUAAGCACUCUGUGCCGCCGCUAACGCAUUAAGUAUCCCACCUGGGGAGUACGACCGCAAGGU
rnacentral:rRNA from 1 species